AGUGAACGCUGGCGGCAGGCCUAACACAUGCAAGUCGAGCGGCAGCGCGGGGGCAACCCUGGCGGCGAGCGGCGGACGGGUGAGGAAUUCGUCGGAAUCUGCCUUUUUGUGGGGGAUAACGUAGGGAAACUUACGCUAAUACCGCAUACGUCCUACGGGAGAAAGUGGGGGACCGCAAGGCCUCACGCAGAAAGAUGAGCCGACGACCGAUUAGCUAGUUGGUGGGGUAAAGGCCCACCAAGGCGACGAUCGGUAGCUGGUCUGAGAGGAUGAUCAGCCACACUGGGACUGGGACACGGCCCAGACUCCUACGAGAGGCAGCAGUGGGGAAUAUUGGACAAUGGGCGCAAGCCUGAUCCAGCCAUGCCGCGUGUGUGAAGAAGGCCUUCGGGUUGUAAAGCACUUUUGUCCGGAAAGAAAUCCCUGGAGCUAAUACCUUCGGGGGAUGACGGUACCGGAAGAAUAAGCACCGGCUAACUUCGUG
rnacentral:rRNA from 1 species